GCCUAGCGACAUUUGAAAAUCCGAGUUGGCAACCCUGCAGCCUUCACUGAUAGUCGCCUGAUUCACCUUGAACCGUAGCAGCGUUCUUUGAUAGCCUGAACAAGAAUCCUGGAGUACGAUUAAUUUUGAGAGAUCUCAAGACCAGACUACACUGCACACAUGGAAAGUGGCUGCUGAAGGCUUCCGGGACAUGGCAGAGGACGAGAUUAGGGAGCU